rnacentral:rRNA from 1 species
UGUUGCAUGUUCUUCGGGAAUGUGCAGUGCCGAAGCGAAGGUGUUAAGUUCACCGCCUGGGGAGUACGGUCGCAAGACUGAAACUUUAAGGAAUUGGCGGGGGCGCACUACAACGAGUGCGGCGUGCGGUUUAAUUUAAUUCCACACAGAGAAUCUUACCAGAAGCGACGGCAGGAUGAAGGUCAGAUUAAAGGUUUUACCUGACGAGCCGAGAGGUGGUGCAUGGCCGACGUCAGCUCGUGCCGUAAGGUGUCACGUUAAGUCGUGCAACGAGCAAGACCUAUAUCUAUAGUUGCCAUCGAGUCUUUUGACGAUCGAGCACACUAUAGAGACUGCCUUGGUAACAAGGAGGAGGGUGUAGGCAACGUUAGGUCUGUAUGCCCCGAAUCUUCUGGGAUACACGCGCGCAGCAAUGGUAGAGACAGAGGGAUACGACUCCGAAAGGAGAAGUUAAGCUCUAAACUCUAUCCUAGUCCGGAUUGAGGGCUGUAACUCGCUCUCAUGACGCUGGAAUUCGUAGUAAUCGUCCGUCAACAGCGAACGGUGAAUCAGUCCCUGUGCCUUGCACACACUGCCCGUCAAACCAACCGAGCAGUGUCUAGGUGAGACCCACUCUUUUGAUUGGCUCGAACCUAGGCUCAGUGAGGUGGGUUAAGUCGUAACAAGGUAGCC